AGGAUGAACGCUGGCGGCGUGCCUAACACAUGCAAGUCGAACGGAUGCCUUCGGGCAUUAGUGGCGCACGGGUGAGUAACACGUGGUUGAUCUACCCUAAAGUAGGGGAUAACGUUCCGAAAGGAAUGCUAAUACCCUAUAAGCUCCCGGACUUUAGAACCCUGGGAGAAAAGUUCCGGCGCUUUAGGAGGAGACUGCGGGCCAUCAGCUCGUUGGUGAGGUAACGGCUUACCAAGGCGACGACGGCUAGGGGGACCUGGAGACGGGUCGCCCCCGACACGUGGAACUGAGACACGGUCCAGACUCCUACGGGAGCAGCAGUGAGGAUAUGCACAAUGGGCGCGAAGUCCGUGAUCGGCAGCGACGUCCGCGUGGGUGAGUUGAAGGGUC
rnacentral:rRNA from 1 species